GUGCAGCAGUCGAGAAUCUUCGGCAAUGGGGGAAACCCUGACCGAGCGACGCCGCGUGUGGGAUGAAGGCCCUUGGGUUGUAAACCACUGUCAGAGGGGAUGAAAUGCCGGAAAGUUAUCUCUCCGGUUUGACAUAGCCUCAGAGGAAGCACGGGCUAAGUUCGUGCCAGCAGCCGCGGUAAGACGAACUGUGCAAACGUUAUUCGGAAUCACUGGGCUUGAAGAGUGCGUAGGCGGUUUCGUAAGUAGGGUGUGAAAGCCCCCGGCGUCAACCGGGAACGUUGUCGUCCUAAACCUAGCGAGGCGUGGAGGUGAGGUAGGGGUGGUGUGGAACGUUACCUACGUGGAGGCGGUGGAAAUAG
rnacentral:rRNA from 1 species